GCGAACAAGUACCGUGAGGGAAAGGUGAAAAGCACCCCGAUGAGGGGAGUGAAACAGUACCUGAAACCGAAUGCUUACAAUCAGUUGGAGGGUCCUUGAGGCCUGACAGCGUACCUCUUGUAUAAUGGGUCAGUGACUUAAUCUAUCAAGCGAGCUUAAGCCGUUAGGUGUAGGCGCAGCGAAAGCGAGUCUGAACAGGGCGACUGAGUUUGAUGGAUUAGACCCGAAACCCGGCGAUCUAGGCAUGACCAGGCUGAAGGUGCGGUAACACGCACUGGAGGGCCGAACCGUUUAAUGUUGAAAAAUUAUCGGAUGAGUUGUGUUUAGGGGUGAAAGGCCAAUCAAGCCGGGAAAUAGCUGGUUCUCCGCGAAAUCUAUUUAGGUAGAGCGUCGGAUGUUUACCUGUGGGGGUAGAGCACUGGAUGGGCUAGGGGGUCGCGAGAUCUACCAAACCUAACCAAACUCCGAAUACCACAGAGUUAGUCCGGCAGACAGACGGCGGGUGCUAAGGUCCGUCGUCAAAAGGGAAACAGCCCUAACCUACAGCUAAGGUCCCCAAAUCGUAUCUAAGUGGGAAAGCAUGUGGGAUUUCCAAAACAACCAGGAGGUUGGCUUAGAAGCAGCCAUCCUUUAAAGAAAGCGUAACAGCUCACUGGUCUAAAUAAGAGAUCCUGCGGCGAAAAUGUAACGGGGCUCAAGAUACGUACCGAAGCUUAGGGUGUGCAUUUAUGCACGCGGUAGCGGAGCGUUCCGUAAGCCUGUGAAGCGGGAGGGUAACCGACCGUGGAGGUAUCGGAAGUGAGAAUGCUGACAUGAGUAGCGAUAAAGAGGGUGAGAUGCCCUCUCGCCGAAAUCCCAAGGGUUCCUGCUUAAAGCUAAUCUGAGCAGGGUGAGCCGGCCCCUAAGACGAGCCCGAAGGGGGUAGUCGAUGGGAACCACGUUAAUAUUCGUGGGCCUGGAGGUGUGUGACGGAUGGCGUAAGUUGUCAGGCCUUAUUGGAUUGGUCUGGCUUCGAAGUUGUCCCAGGAAAUAGCCCCUCCGUAUAGACCGUACCCUAAACCGACACAGGUGGGAUGGUAGAGUAUACCAAGGCGCUUGAGAGAAGUGUACUGAAGGAACUCGGCAAAUUACCUCCGUAACUUCGGGAGAAGGAGGCCCCACAUAUGGGCAACCAUGUGUGGGGGGCACAAGCCAGGGGGUAGCGACUGUUUAGCAAAAACACAGGACUCUGCUAAGUCGGCUUCAAGACGACGUAUAGGGUCUGACGCCUGCCCGGUGCUGGAAGGUUAAGAGGAGGAGUGCAAGCUCUGAAUUGAAGCCCCAGUAAACGGCGGCCGUAACUAUAACGGUCCUAAGGUAGCGAAAUUCCUUGUCGGGUAAGUUCCGACCCGCACGAAAGGCGUAACGAUUUGGGUACUGUCUCGGAGAGAGACUCGGCGAAAUAGACUUGUCUGUGAAGAUGCGGACUACCUGCACCUGGACAGAAAGACCCUAUGAAGCUUUACUGUAACUUGGAAUUGGGUUUGAGCUUUUCUUGCGCAGCAUAGGUGGGAAGCUAAGAAAAUAGGUUUGCGGAUCUAUUUGAGCUAUCAGUGAGAUACCACUCUGGAAAAGCUAGAAUUCUAACCUUGAAAGCCGUUAUCCGGCCAAGGGACAGUUUCAGGUGGGCAGUUUGACUGGGGCGGUCGCCUCCUAAAGAGUAACGGAGGCGCGCGAUGGUGAGCUCAGGACGGUUGGAAACCGUCUGUUAGAGUGCAAUGGCAUAAGCUCGCCUGACUGCGAGACUGACGAGUCGAGCAGAGACGAAAGUCGGUCAUAGUGAUCCGGUGGUCCCUCGUGGAAGGGCCAUCGCUCAACGGAUAAAAGGUACGCCGGGGAUAACAGGCUGAUGAUUCCCAAGAGCUCAUAUCGACGGAAUCGUUUGGCACCUCGAUGUCGGCUCAUCACAUCCUGGGGCUGGAGCAGGUCCCAAGGGUUUGGCUGUUCGCCAAUUAAAGUGGUACGUGAGCUGGGUUCAGAACGUCGCGAGACAGUUUGGUCCCUAUCUGCCGUGGGCGUCGAUAAUUGAGAGGAGUUGACCCUAGUACGAGAGGACCGGGUUGAACAUACCUCUGGUGUACCUGUCAUUGCGCCAGCAGUGCAGCAGGGUAGCUAUGUAUGGACGGGAUAACCGCUGAAAGCAUCUAAGCGGGAAGCCCCUCCCAAGAUAAGAUCUCACUGAUACUUUAAGUAUCCUGAAGGGCCCUUGAAGACUACAAGGUUGAUAGGCUGGGUGUGGAAGCACAGCAAUGUGUGUAGCUAACCAGUACUAAUUGCCCGUGAGGCUUGAC
rnacentral:rRNA from 1 species